GCAAGUCGAGGGGUAACAGAGGUAGCUUGCUCCUUGCUCACGACCGGCGCACGGGUGCGUAACACGUAUACAAUCUACCUUUUACUGGGGGAUAGCCUUUAGAAAUGAAGAUUAAUACCCCAUAGUAUGUUUAGUUCGCAUGGACAAGACAUUAAAGAUUACGGUAAAAGAUGAGUAUGCGUCCUAUUAGCUAGAUGGUGUGGUAACGGCACACCAUGGCAACGAUAGGUAGGGGGCCUGAGAGGGGGAUC
rnacentral:rRNA from 1 species